rnacentral:rRNA from 1 species
UACAGAGGGGGCAAGCGUUGUUCGGAAUUACUGGGCGUAAAGGGCGCGUAGGCGGCCUGUUAAGUCGAACGUGAAAUCCCUGGGCUCAACCCAGGAACUGCGUCCGAUACUGGCAGGCUUGAAUUCGGGAGAGGGAUGCGGAAUUCCAGGUGUAGCGGUGAAAUGCGUAGAUACCUGGAGGAACACCGGUGGCGAAGGCGGCAUCCUGGACCGAUAUUGACGCUGAGGCGCGAAAGCCAGGGGAGCAAACGGG